UGAGCAACCUGCCCUUAGCUCUGGUAUAACCCCGGGAAACCGGGGCUAAUACCGGAUACGAGUCCGAGCGGCACUCCACACCGGACUGGAAAGUUUUUCGGCUAAGGAUGGGCUCGCGGCCUAUCAGCCUUGUUGGUGGGUAACGGCCUACCAAGGCGACGACGGGUAGCUGGUCUGAGAGGACGACCAGCCACACUGGAACUGAGACACGGCCCAGACUCCUACGGGAGGCAGC
rnacentral:rRNA from 1 species